UGAGCUGGGGGGCUCUGGGAGGUCACUGUGCCUGGAGGCUGAGCUGGGGGGCUCUGGGAGGUCACUGUGCCUGGAGGCUGAGCUGGGGGGCUCUGGGAGGUCACUGUGCCUGGAGGCUGAGCUGGGGGGCUCUUGGAGGUCACUGUGCCUGGAGGCUGAGCUGGGGGGCUCUGGGAGGUCACUGUGCCUGGAGGCUGAGCUGGGGGGCUCUGGGAGGUCACUGUGCCAAAUUAAGAUUUGCUGUGAGUAAAGCGCUCAUUGCCAGUAAGCAAGACGUCAAACUGUAUCUCAGACAUUUAGUUCCAAAGAAUUUUUCAAAAAGGAAUUGUUCCUCACUUGGUAAAGUUGCAUAUAUUUAGUUUACUAAUAAGGGUGUAUGUUUAUGAUAAAUUCCUCAAGUAUACUUUAUACUUUCCUCAGGCCACAUUUCUAUGGCCAUUGCCACACCUUGGUGUUAUGGUACGUAGAAUUGCAGGUCAGGAUUGGUUUGGGGUAGUCAUUUUAAAGGCUAGUAAACCUCUGUUGAAGGUCAAAUCUGUGAAACUAAGGGCAUAACUCUCCUGCUUGGAGGUGGCUUGUGGUGGGUGAGUAGAUGGGGACUGUGGCCUUGUAAUGCCUGAGGCCUGGACUUGCCUCUGUUGGGACUGAGGAAGGGCCCAAUAGAAAACGUCUCAUCCUGACUGAGGAUAAGCAAUUUAGAGAGAGAAAGAAGUCAGAGUUUGAAAACUUAACAUAUCUCCUUUGUCAUAAAGCAGAUGCUGGAGAGUGUGGCUUCCAUCUGUAGGGAAAGAAUUUUCCUGAUACUGGACCUGAGAAUUAGGCCUCCUAGAAAGGUAGUACAGGGCACCGCCAGAUCCUCUCUGUGAAAGGAGCAGAGCAGAAAGCAAGUUCUCUGCCGGCAGAGGGGCUCCAAAGAGAAACGGAAGGUGAGGGGUAAGCCAGAAGUUACCAGCCUUGCUUGGCUUACAGACCCUGGCUAUCUCAGCACGUUUUUUAUAGCGCUCCUAGGCCAAAGGAAAUACCUAACAGUUCCAUCUACUAGUUUGGUCUAAACAACUUAAUAGUAGUAAUAAGCUCGGUGUCUGACAACUGUGUUUUCCCUGAAAAUAUCCCUAUUUCAGAACCCCAGUAAGUUUGCUGUGGUGCCCCAAGGCACUGUAGUGCAUCGUUUGGAAAAUGCAGUCUCCUUCAGAAAACUCAACAAUAUAAGUGUCACUCCUUACUCUCUUGGAGAAUGAGUUUGUUUUCUACAUCUAUAACUCUAUUUCUGUUCUGUAGAUAAGUUCAUUUGUACCCCUUUUAAGGUUCCACAUAUAAGUGAUAUCACCUGAUACUUGUCCUUCUCUGUCUGACUUACUUCACUCAGUAUGACAAUCUCUAGGUCCAUCCAUGUUGCUGCAAACGGCAUUAUUUUGUUCUUUUUAAUAGCUGAGUAGUAUUCCAUUGUAUAUAUGUACCACAUCUUCUUUAUCCAUUCCUCUGUUGGUGGACAUUUAGGUUGCUUCCAUGUCUUAGCUAUUGUAAAUAGUGCUGCAAUGAACACUGGGGUGCAUGUCUCUUUUUGAAUUAUGGUUUUUUCCAGAUAUACGCCCAGGAGUGGGAUUGCUGGAUCAUAUGGUCGCUCUAUUUUUAGUUUUUAAAGGAACUUCCAUACUGUUCUCCAUAGUGGUGGCUGUACCACCAACAGUGUGGGAGGGUUCCCUUUUCUCCACACCCUCUCCAGCAUUUAUUGUUUGUAGAUAUUUUGAUAAUGGCCAUUCUGACUAGUGUGAGAUGAUACCUCAUUGUAGUUUUGAUUUGCAUUUCACUAAGAAUUACUGAUGUUGAGCAUCUUUUAAUGUGCUUUUUAGCCAUCCAUAUGUCUUCUUUUUUUUUCUGAUUAAUUUUAUUUGGAGUAUGGUUGCUUUACAAUGUUGUGUUAACCUCCACUGCACAACAAAAUGAAUCAGCCAUAUACAUACAGAUAUCCCCUCCCUUUUGGACUUCCCUCCCAUUUAGGUUACCACAGUGCAUUAGGUUCUUGUGCUAUACAGUAUGUUCCCAUCAGUUGUCUCUGUUAUACAUAGUAUCAAUAAUGUAUAUGUGUCAGUCCCAGUCUCCCAAUUCCUCCCACCCCAUCACUUUCCCCCUUGGUAUCUAUACAUUUGUUCUCUAUGUCUGUGUCCUAUUUCUGCUUAGCAAAUAAGGUCAUCUACACCAUUUUUUUAGAUUCCACAUAUAUGCAUUAUUAUACGAUAUUUGCUUUUCUCUUUCUGACUUACUUCACUCUGUAUGAUACUCUUUAGACCAUCCAUAUUUCUAUAAAUGACCCAAUUUCAUUCCUUUUUUUGACUGAGUAAUAUCCCAUUGUAUAUAUGUACCACAUCUUCUUUAUCCACUGCUCUUUUGGUGGACAUUUAGGUUGCUUCCAUGUCCUGGCUAUUGUAAAUAGUGCUGCUGUGAACAUUGGGGUGCAUGUGUUUUGUUUGUUUGUUGUUGUUUUUUCGGUUUGUUUUUUUGAAUUAUGGUUUUCUUAGGGUAUAUGCCCAGUAUUGGGAUUGUUGGGUCAUAUAGUAGUUCUAUUUUUAGUUUUUUUUUUUUAACAUCUUUAUUGGAAUAUAAUUGCUUUACAAUGGUGUGUUACUAUAAUUGCUUUACAAUGGUGUGUUACUUUCUGCUUUAUAACAAAGUGAAUCAGCUAUACAUAUACAAAUAUCCCCAUAUCUCU